AACACAUAUCGACGGGGAAACAGAUCUCGACACAACACCUGUUUUCAGAUCUCGACACAACACCGGUGCAUUCGGCAAUCGACUUGUGUGGACUUCCUGUAAACACGGACCUACCGUUAUGGAUACAAACAUGAAGCACAAGCCAGAGGAGCGUAUGAGAAGCUGAUUGGUCGGGAGCAUGCAGGCUUCUCAUGUAUGGACAGUGGUCUCUGGCUGAACCCCAAGUGGCCCUACACGGGGUCCUCCCCUGAUGGGAUUGUCACUUGUCACUGUCACGGAACUGGCAUCUGCGAGAGCGACACUCUCGCCUAGAUGAGACCUAUCUGCGUUUGUGUGCUGACGAGAAGGGCUUCUGCCUCAUCAAUGAUGGGGAUAACGUCAUGCUGGACCGGAGUCAUGAGUACUACUACCAAGUUCAGGCACAGCUUCACAUUGUAGAUGCUGACUACUGUGACUUUGUUGUGUGGAACCGCAAUGACAUUUUUGUUGAAAGGAUUUUGCCUGAUCUUGAAUUUUGGGAUGAUGUGAUUCCUAAAGAAAGAGUAUACUACUGGAAAUACUGGUGAAAAAAGGAUAUAAAAAGAUGAAAUGGCAUUGAGAAUACAGAAUAAUACAUGGUUUAUCUACAAGAUUAGAUGUUUUAACAAUUGUUAUAAUAAAUACAAUAUGUGCAAUAAUACAUUGGAAUCCAUUUCAUUAUAUAAAAU